CAGGAAAGUUGUGCUACUAGAGCGGCUUGGGUGUCCGUGGGGGCCGAGACGAGUUUGUUCUGUUUGGAUACUUCUGUAGAGCUGUCAUGAGGACAUUGCUGGCAACCUAAGAACUGGAGUCCAAAGCAGUGCAAAGCUAAACGGCUUUGUGCUGUCUGCACGUGUGCUGCAUUCAGGAUUCCGUGAGACUGAACCCUAAUCCCAUAGGGUAUCAGGUAUGAGGCUCCCAGAACUCAAUCCCCAGGACUUUUGUCUUUAUUACUCCAUUUGUCUUGCUGCAAUACAACUUGGAGACACUUUUGCCAUUGUGUUUCUUCCUCUUCUGGGAGACCAGAUUAAAGCUGGGUGAAUGGAAAUUGUCUCUUGUGGAUAGGAUCGUAUCACGGCACACACUUUUUCCUGCCUCCUGUGGC